CCUACGGGCGGCUGCAGCGAGGAAUAUUGGUCAAUGGACGAGAGUCUGAACCAGCCAAGUAGCGUGAAGGAUGACUGCCCUAUGGGUUGUAAACUUCUUUUAUAUGGGAAUAAAAUGUUCCACGUGUGGGAUUUUGUAUGUACCAUAUGAAUAAGGAUCGGCUAACUCCGUGCCAGCAGCCGCGGUAAUACGGAGGAUCCGAGCGUUAUCCGGAUUUAUUGGGUUUAAAGGGAGCGUAGGUGGAUUGUUAAGUCAGUUGUGAAAGUUUGCGACUCAACCGUAAAAUUGCAGUUGAAACUGGCAGUCUUGAGUACAGUAGAGGUGGGCGGAAUUCGUGGUGUAGCGGUGAAAUGCUUAGAGAUCACGAAGAACUCCGAUUGCGAAGGCAGUUCACUGGACUGCAACUGACACUGAGGCUCGAAAGUGUGGGUAUCAAACAGGAUUAGAUACCCCUGUAGUC
rnacentral:rRNA from 1 species